UACGUAGGGUGCAAGCGUUAAUCGGAAUUACUGGGCGUAAAGCGUGCGCAGGCGGCUUUGCAAGACAGAUGUGAAAUCCCCGGGCUUAACCUGGGAACUGCAUUUGUGACUGCAUGGCUGGAGUGCGGCAGAGGGGGAUGGAAUUCCGCGUGUAGCAGUGAAAUGCGUAGAUAUCUGGAGGAACACCAAAGGCGAAGGCAGUGUCCUGGGGAGCAUCUGACGCUCAGGUGCGAAAGCUAGGGGAGCGAACGGG
rnacentral:rRNA from 1 species